ensembl:misc_RNA Metazoa_SRP Metazoan signal recognition particle RNA
GCUGGCAUGGUGGUGUGUACCUGUAGUCCCAGCCACUCAGGAGGCUGAGGCAGGAGGAUCAAAAUCUGGGCUGCACUGCACUAUGCCUGUUGAGAAUCCUUACUGAAUCUGGCAUUAACAUGGUCACCCCUAGGAGCAGUGAACCACCAGGUUGCCCAAGAAGGGAUGAGCCAGCCCAGGUUGGAAACAGAGGAGGUCAAAAUUCCUGUGUUGAUCAAUUACUGAGAUCAAACCUGUGACUAGCCAUUGUACUCCAGGGUGGGCAACAUAAUGAGACCCCAUCUCUC